rnacentral:rRNA from 1 species
GUCGAGAAUCUUUCGCAAUGCCCGCAAGGGUGACGAAGCGACGCCGCGUGUGGGAAGAAGGCCUUCGGGUUGUAAACCACUGUCGGGAGUUAAGAAAGGCGGGAGAGUGAAUAGCUUUCCUGUUUUGACGAAAGCUCCGGAGGAAGCCACGGCUAACUCUGUGCCAGCAGCCGCGGUAAUACAGAGGUGGCAAGCGUUGUUCGGAAUUAUUGGGCGUAAAGGGCACGUAGGCGGCCCUGCAAGUCAGUUGUGAAAUCCUUCCGCUUAACGGAAGAACGGCAGGUGAUACUACAGGGCUAGAGUGCGGUAGGGGAGAGCGGAACUUCUGGUGGAGCGGUGAAAUGCGUAGAUAUCAGAAGGAACACCGGCGGCGAAAGCGGCUCUCUGGUCCGUAACUGACGCUGAGGUGCGAAAGCUAGGGGAGCAAACGGGAUUAGAAACCCUAGUAGUCC